CGCGCCACCUCCCGCCGCGGCAGGAGCCGCACAGGGGCCGGGGGUCUGGGGCGCCGCGCUCCCGGGCAAGGCGCAGGCAGCCGGCAGAGCGAUGCCUCAGUCGGGUUGUGCCUGAAGAACUGCUGGGGCUAUUGUGUCAACUGAGGGCAAAAGGGGAAAAGACAAGCAAAGAAAACCUUCUCAGAAGUCUUGUUUGCUGCUGUUAAAAGGCUGUUGUUCAUUUCUGACGUCCUCAUCUUUCACUCCAAAGGAAAAGAAUCGAAUGAUGUGCCUACAUUUGACGAGAAGAAAACACUAGCAACAACAGUGAAGGUGCAUUGGUUUUAUUUUCCUUUUCCCCUGGGGGAAAAAAAGAUUACUCUCCACUUUAGCGAGGGGAGGCUGUGGACAUGGAGAAGGCGUUGUCCACGUCUAGUUGCUGACUUUCAUCCCUUGGCUUUGGUAGGCUUUUGUGUCAAAUAGAAAUCCCCGAAAAGAGAAUUAAAUACUUGCCAAUAAACAAUAUUACAUUUCAA